rnacentral:lncRNA from 1 species
GGGGGGAUGAGGAUGGAAGGGUGGACUGAAAUCACAACGAAGCUUUGGAUUAUUCCUAUCAUAGGUUUCAUAAACGCUCAGCUCUUCCUGAUCCUCCGUGGCUAGAGAAAGUCAUACUGUAUGCUUUAUGUGCAUGAGAGACAUUUAUGUAUUUACAGUGCACACGCUUCAAUGGCUACUCCUGUGUUGAGGACAUCUGGCUCCAAGGUUGACAUAUUUUCUCCUCUACCUCUCUGUCUCUAACAACAACCUUAUCAUCCUCCAUUACACACCUGGAUUGUAUUACAUAUUAGUUCUCUUAACAGAGAUAGGUGUAAAACAAGGAUGAUGGGGAUGGGUCUGUGACGGAUAUCAUCGUGAGAAAGAGAGAAAUAGAGGGAGCGAGAGAAUGUGAGAGAGAAAGGGGGGGAGAGGGGGGAUAGAGAGAGACAGGGGAUAGAGAGAGACCGGGGUAGAGAGAGACAGGGGAUAGAGAGAGACCGGGGUAGAGAGAGACAGAGUGUAGAGAGAGACAGGGGCAGAGAGAGACAGCCAGGGAGAGAGAGAGACAGACAGGGACAGAGAGAGACAGACAGGGACAGAGAGAGACAGACAGGGAUAGAGAGAGACAGGGGUAGAGAGAGACAGGGGAUAGAGAGAGACGGGGAUAGAGAGAGAUAGGGGAUAGAGAGAGACAUAGGUAGAGAGAUACAGGGGGUAGAGAGAGACAGGGGUAGAGAGAGACAGAGGUAGAGAGAGACAGAGGUAGAGAGAGACAGAGGUAGAGAGAGACAGAGGUAGAGAGAGACAGGGGUAGAGAGAGACAGGGGGUAGAGAGAGAUAGGGGAUAGAGAGAGACAGGGAUAGAGAGAGACAGGGGAUAAAGAGAGACAGGGGGUAGAGAGAGACAGGGGGUAGAGAGAGACAGGGGAUAGAGACAGACAGGGGUAGAGAGAGACAGGGAUAGAGACAGACAGGGAUAGAGAGAGACAGAGGUAGAGAGAGGGGAUAGAGAGACAGGGAAUAGAGAGAGACAGGGGAUAGAGAGAGACGGGUAGAGAGAGACAGGGGAUAGAGAGAGACGGGGGUAGAGAGAGACAGGGAAUAGAGAGAGAGACGGGGUAGAGAGAGACAGGGGGUAGAGAGAGACAGGGGUAGAGAGAGACAGGGGUAGAGAGAGACAGGGGUAGAGAGAGACAGGGGUAGAGAGAGACAGGGAGCAGUUAUCCUCUCUAUUUCCUCUGCACCAGCUUUGCGGUUUCUGUGUGGAACAGAUGUUCACAACUUGAUACAGUGCACCAUGCCCCUCUCCUUGCUAUCUUCAGUCCCAGCACUACCAACUGUCUGCACACACACAUUCUCCCUCUCUCUCUCUUGCAUGCCAAUGUGGACACAAUUGCUUGCCUGAAUACAUGUGGAUGUAUUCAGGUGAAAACAGCGUAAAUUGAGAACUUUCUACUGCUGCCCAAUUGACUUUCUCUCCUGUUCCUGCAUCCUGCUCUUUAGUAAACAUUUCACUUUAACGAGGUGCUAUUUCCUGAUCCUUUAGCAGGGAGGGUGACCAGCCACCACUGACCUCAGGGUCUCCUCUUUCACACACAC